rnacentral:rRNA from 1 species
CGUUCCUACGGGAGGCAGCAGUAGGGAAUCUUCCACAAUGGGCGAAAGCCUGAUGGAGCAACGCCGCGUAGGUGAAGAAGGCCUUCAGAUCGUAAAACCCUGUUGUUAGAGAAGAAAGUGCGUGAGAGUAACUGUUCACGUUUCGACGGUAUCUAACCAGAAAGCCACGGCUAACUACGUGCCAGCAGCCGCGGUAAUACGUAGGUGGCAAGCGUUAUCCGGAUUUAUUGGGCGUAAAGAGAACGCAGGCGGUCUUUUA